AGUGAACGCUGGCGGUAGGCCUAACACAUGCAAGUCGAACGGCAGCACAAGAGAGCUUGCUCUCUGGGUGGCGAGUGGCGGACGGGUGAGGAAUACAUCGGAAUCUACCUUUUCGUGGGGGAUAACGUAGGGAAACUUACGCUAAUACCGCAUACGACCUACGGGUGAAAGUGGGGGACCGCAAGGCCUCACGCGAUUAGAUGAGCCGAUGUCCGAUUAGCUAGUUGGCGGGGUAAUGGCCCACCAAGGCGACGAUCGGUAGCUGUCUGAGAGGAUGAUCAGCCGCACUGGAACUGAGACACGGUCCAGACUCCUACGGGAGGCAGCAGUGGGGAAUAUUGGACAAUGGGCGCAAGCCUGAUCCAGCCAUACCGCGUGGGUGAAGAAGGCCUUCGGGUUGUAAAGCCCUUUUGUUGGGAAAGAAAUCCUGUCGAUUAAUACUCGGUGGGGAUGACGGUACCCAAAGAAUAAGCACCGGCUAACUUCGUGCCAGCCGCCGCAGUAAUAC
rnacentral:rRNA from 1 species